rnacentral:rRNA from 1 species
AUUGAACGCUGGCGGCAUGCCUUACACAUGCAAGUCGAACGGUAACAGGUUAAGCUGACGAGUGGCGAACGGGGGAGUAAUGUAUCGGAACGUGCCCAGUCGUGGGGGAUAACUGCUCGAAAGAGCAGCUAAUACCGCAUACGACCUGAGGGUGAAAGCGGGGGAUCGCAAGACCUCGCGCGAUUGGAGCGGCCGAUAUCAGAUUAGGUAGUUGGUGAGGUAAAGGCUCACCAAGCCGACGAUCUGUAGCUGGUCUGAGAGGACGACCAGCCACACUGGGACUGAGACACGGCCCAGACUCCUACGGGAGGCAGCAGUGGGGAAUUUUGGACAAUGGGCGCAAGCCUGAUCCAGCCAUGCCGCGUGCGGGAAGAAGGCCUUCGGGUUGUAAACCGCUUUUGUCAGGGAAGAAAAGGUUCUGGCUAAUACCUGGGACUCAUGACGGUACCUGAAGAAUAAGCACCGGCUAACUACGUG